UUUCCGUAGGUGAACCUGCGGAAGGAUCAUUAAAGAAUUGCCCCGUCUUCUCGAAGAUGGGUUCUAUUCCAGACCGUGUUUACAUACCUUUGUUGCUUUGGCGGGCCGCCGCUUCGGCGUUGGCUCCGGCUGACUGCGCCCGCCAGAGGACCACAACUCUUUUGUUUAGUAAUGUCUGAGUACUAUAUAAUAGUUGAAACUUUCAACAACGGAUCUCUUGGUUCUG
rnacentral:misc_RNA from 1 species